UUCGGGAACUCUGACACAGGUGCUGCAUGGCUGUCGUCAGCUCGUGUCGUGAGAUGGUUGGGUUAACGUCCCGUAACGAGCGCAACCCUUGUCCUUAGUUACCAGCACGUUAUGGUGGGCACUCUAAGGAGACUGCCGGUGACAAACCGGAGGAAGGUGGGGAUGACGUCAAGUCAUCAUGGCCCUUACGGCCUGGGCUACACACGUGCUACAAUGGUCGGUACAAAGGGUUGCCAAGCCGCGAGGUGGAGCUAAUCCCAUAAAACCGAUCGUAGUCCGGAUCGCAGUCUGCAACUCGACUGCGUGAAGUCGGAAUCGCUAGUAAUCGUGAAUCAGAAUGUCACGGUGAAUACGUUCCCGGGCCUU
rnacentral:rRNA from 1 species